rnacentral:rRNA from 1 species
UACGUAGGGGGCAAGCGUUGUCCGGAAUCAUUGGGCGUAAAGAGCGUGUAGGCGGUCCGGUCAGUCGGUUGUGAAAGUCAAGGGCUCAACCCUUGAAUGCCGGUCGAUACUGCCGGGCUAGAGUCCGGAAGAGGUGAGUGGAAUUCCUGGUGUAGCGGUGAAAUGCGCAGAUAUCAGGAGGAACACCGAUGGCGAAGGCAGCUCACUGGGACGGUACUGACGCUGAGACGCGAAAGCGUGGGGAGCAAACAGG